AUGGCGGAGGAACCAUCUUCCAAGCGUCCCCGUGGUGAGACGUCCGACCAGAGCAUCGAGAUCGACGACGUUCAGGUCCCCAGUCAGAAGCAUGACUACAAAAGGCACCUCAAGGAGGUUGACAUCCAUGGUAAGGAGAAGCUGGAUGUCAUAUGCACCAGCAAUCCAGACGAAGCCGACAAGAUGAUCAGCAGGAUCAUGAAAGAGGGUCUGCGGCUUGUACCCCCAGCACAUCGGCGUUGA
rnacentral:rRNA from 1 species